AUAUUUACUCUUAAUUUCUUAAAAUUGGAUAAUGCUGGGAGAUCACCAGGUGAAAGGCACAGACAAUGGCCUCAAUCACUCAAUGAAAUGGUCAAGUGGAAGAAUGUCCUUGAUAAUAAAUGAUAUGGCCCGCAUCCUAUUUUAAUAAGAUCCAGGGGAGCUAUAUGUGUUUUUCCACAGGAGGAAGAUAAUCCCUUUUGGAUUCCGGAGCGCCUCACUCGAAGGAUCCAGCUCUUGGACAAUGAGUCACAGGAACAAGAUCCCAAGACAUUGAUGGAUCAUACUCCUCAUGCUGGACAUUCUGGUUCCUAGUAUAUCUGGAGAGUUAAGAUGGGGAAUUAUGUCAACUUUCCCUCUUCCUAUGCCAGUUUAUGCAUAAUGCACAAAUAUUUCCAUGCUUUUUCACUACAGAUAAAGAACUGGGACUUGCUUAUUUACCCUUAGAUGAACAGAUUCAGGCUUUAUUAGAAAAUAGAACCUUCUUCCUACAGGGAAGCCUGUGCUUUAUGUUAAUUUUCUCAUUACAAGAUAAGAGCCAAUGUAUAUCCUUGCAUUAUCAAUCAGCAGCCUGGUUAAGAAAGAGCUCUUGGGGCGUAACGACUGAUAUAAAGGCUGAUACCAUAGUUAUAAGAGGAUGGUGGCCCAGCCGAAAAGGUGGAAGAUCUAGAAAUAAGCUGUCUUCACAACCAAGAAUGGCACCCUUUUGCAAGGAAAGGUCCAUGGAAGAUGUAAUGUUACCUUGGACAGGUUGCCAAGCUAAAAAAUAUACUUGGGCAGUAGAGAAAUAUUUUUCCUUUUCCCCAUAUAUUAGUAGAGAGUAUAAUGAUACUUUUGCUGGAUAUAAUUUUAGUACUAUGGAGCCCCUUUAAACUAAUACUAACCCUUUUGAUCAUGAUCUCGCCCCCAUGGCAAUGAUUGGAGGAGGUUCUAGUGAGAAAGGAGAAUUGACCUUUGAUUGGAAAGGUACCUUGAAGACCGGUCGGUCUGAUAAGCAGAGUCCAAAUUCUUUAAAAUGGACCACCUCCAAUGUUAGGUAUAAGAAACAGAAAGAGGUAAAUUUUACCGCCACCCCGGUAGGUGUAUGGCCCCUGUUUUUGUGGGUGGUAAGUAACAAAAGCUUAAAUGAGAAUCAGAUAGAGAUAGAUUGCUCACAAGAAAAAUGUUUUUAUGCUCUAUACUGGGAUGCCAAUAAAUAUACUUUUGCUUUUGUUACCCACAUGCCUAGAUUUGUUCCUGUUCCUGUAGAUGCCCCUAAUAGCUUGACUUUGUUUCGAGGGAAAAGAGAUUUUGGUAUUUCUGCUAUUAUAGUUGGAUUGGUGGUCACAGCAGCGGUUGCAGCCUCUGUCACGGCCUCGGCACUUGCUCUAUCUACUCCUGUUCAAACAAUACAAACUAUUAACGAACUUUCUAUGACAGUCACAACGGCCUUAGAUAAACAGGCCACAGCCAACUCACAGAUACAAGGAGGGUUGAUGUUGAUAAAUCAACGCAUCGACCUAGUCCAAGAACAAGUGAAUAUUCUUUGGCAGUUGGCUCAAUUGGGCUGUGAAUACAAGAUGCCUGGCCAUUGUGUUACUUCUGUUCAGUUUGAAAAUUCUACAAGAGCAGCAAAUUUGUCAAAAACUUUGUCUCGUUAUAUGUUACAGAAUUGGACCAUGGAAUUUGAGCAAAUGCUUCGAGAAUUGAGAGUUGCUAUUCUACAAGUGAAUUCUACGUGUCUCGACCUUUCGACCUGACGAAGGGCUUCUCCACCUGGAUUUCCUCUGCAUUUUCCUACUUUAAGGAGUGGGUGAGGGUAGGCUUGUUUACCGUGAUCCUAUGCGGUGGAUCAUUGCUUUUGCUCUGGAUGGUCUGUAAACUUAAAGCCCAAACAAAAAGGGACAAGAUGGUGAUAGCCCAAGCACUUGCAGCAUUAGAACAUGGUGCCUCCCCUGAUAUAUGGUUAUCUAUACUUAAGCAAUAGGUCGAUGGCCGUUCAGCUCUUGCACCCCACGAGGCUAGUCUCAUUGCAUGGGAUAGAGUGAGUGAGCUUCAGCAGCCCGAGAGAGUUGCACGGCUAAGCACUGCAGUAGAAAGGCUCUGCGGCAUAAAAUGAGCCUAUUCUAGGGAGACAUGUCAUCUUAUAUGAAGGUUGAGUGUCCAAGUGUCCUUCCCCCAGGAAAAACGACACGGAAGCGGACCAAGACCCCUCCGGGUGACUAGCCUGGGAGAAGGUUUUGUGUCAUGCCUCUAUUUUUGCACACUGGGGGUUUGACCUCUAUCUCCACUCUCAGUACUGGGUGGCUUGUUGCCUUUUAAAUAAAAGAAAAGGGGGAGAUGUGAGGAGCCACCCUUGCAAUCGCCAUUACAAGAUGGCGCUGAUAUCUGGUGUUCUAACUGGUAAACAAAUAGUCUGCGUAUGUGCUGGGGUAUUUUUCCAUUCCUUGUGCCCUGCCUGUCCCGUGGCAUCAUCUGGCAUCAUCUGGCGUCAUCUGGGCUGAUAGUGAGCAGUCAGUCAGGGUGAAAUACGUCUCCAACCC
rnacentral:lncRNA from 1 species